rnacentral:rRNA from 1 species
UGGGGAAUAUUGCACAAUGGGCGAAAGCCUGAUGCAGCGACGCCGCGUGCGGGAUGAAGGCCUUCGGGUUGUAAACCGCUUUUGAUUGGGAGCAAGCGAGAGUGAGUGUACCUUUCGAAUAAGCACCGGCUAACUACGUGCCAGCAGCCGCGGUAAUACGUAGGGUGCAAGCGUUAUCCGGAAUUAUUGGGCGUAAAGAGCUCGUAGGCGGUUUGUCGCGUCUGGUGUGAAAGUCCAUCGCUUAACGGUGGAUCUGCGCCGGGUACGGGCAGGCUAGAGUGCGACAGGGGAGACUGGAAUUCCCGGUGUAACGGUGGAAUGUGUAGAUAUCGGGAAGAACACCAAUGGCGAAGGCAGGUCUCUGGGUCGUCACUGACGCUGAGGAGCGAAAGCGUGGGGAGCGAACAGGAUUAGAUACCCUGGUAGUCCACGCCGUAAACGGUGGAUGCUGGAUGUGGGGCCCA